rnacentral:rRNA from 1 species
GACAGAGGUGCCAAGCGUUAGGCGGAAUCACUGGGCUUAAAGCGUGUGUAGGCGGAUCGUUAAGUACCUUGUGAAAUCCCACGGCUCAACCGUGGAACUGCUCGGUAUACUGGCGGUCUUGAGCCAUCUAGGGGCUGUCGGAACAAAUGGUGGAGCGGUGAAAUGCGUAGAUAUCAUUUGGAACGCCAAAGGUGAAAACAGACAGCUGGGGAUGUGCUGACGCUGAGACACGAAAGCGUGGGGAGCGAACAGG